rnacentral:rRNA from 1 species
CCUACGGGAGGCAGCAGUGAGGAAUAUUGGUCAAUGGUCGGGAGACUGAACCAGCCAAGCCGCGUGAGGGAGGAAGGUACAGAGUAUCGUAAACCUCUUUUGUCAGGGAACAAAGACUGGGACGCGUCCCCGGAUGAGUGUACCUGAAGAAAAAGCAUCGGCUAACUCCGUGCCAGCAGCCGCGGUAAUACGGAGGAUGCGAGCGUUAUCCGGAUUUAUUGGGGUUAAAGGGUGUGGAGGGGGUCUGUUAAGUCAGCGGGCAAAGCCCGGGGCUCAACCCCCGGCCCGCCGUUGAAACGGGCAGUCUCGAGUUGGAGAGAAGUAUGCGGAAUGCGCGGUGUAGCGGUGAAAUGCAUAGAUAUCGCGCAGAACUCCGAUUGCGAAGGCAGCAUGCCGGCUCCACACUGACGCUGAGGCACGAAAGCGUGGGUAUCGAACAGGAUUAGAUACCCGAGUAGUC